rnacentral:sRNA from 1 species
UCACAUUGCUAUUGAAAGACAUUUUAG